rnacentral:misc_RNA from 1 species
GAUGAAGAACGCAGCGAAAUGCGAUAAGUAGUGUGAAUUGCAGAAUUCCGUGAAUCAUCGAAUCUUUGAACGCACAUUGCGCCUCCUGGUAGUCCGGGAGGCAUGCCUGUUCGAGCGUCACCAAAUCCAACUCAAGCGGUUUUGCGCUUGGUCGUGGCGGAAGAGUCGGUCUGGUUGCCGUCUCCCCUCCGAAAAUCAACGGCGGAAAGUCACUGGCAGUCAGCGUAGUAGUAUCGUUCGCCGAACAUCCAGUGGCAUUCCUGCCGACGUACCCCCACAAUUCUCGUGAUUGACCUCGGAUCAGGUAGGGAUACCCGCUGAACUUAAGCAUAUCAUAAGCGGAGGA